CUGAGUAGCAGGCAGUUUACUUUGGGCACACUUUUCAUCCGGACGUGAAAAUACUGCCCCCUAGCCCAAAGAGGUUUUAAGUACUAUAUGUAUUUGCUGAAAGUAUUACUAUGUGAAUUACUAAUACUCAAUUGACCAUGUUUUGUCAGUAUUAAUAGGAAAGUAUUUAUGACAAUGCUAAUUGCACGUACGGACAAUACUCUGUGGAAGAGCAACGAGCCAAAUGGGGGUAACUACUCUUCUUCCAUUGUGUGCAUUACAUGCAUCAGGAAGUUGAAUAUAAUAAUAAUGGCAACUUUUUUGUAUUGCUCUUCGUAAGAUGAUGAUGCAAGUGAAGCACUCCAGAAAAAGACAAAUGAACCCAGACAAACCCAGCUUCCAGUGCCCCAGCUUCCACCAGCCCCUAGUGUUGCAGAUGCUGAGGACUUGAGACCAUGUGCCACCUCAAUCCGGAGCGACAUUUUCUCAGUUAGUCCAGGUGGCAGCCAUGAAGAAGCUGGCAAAGAGAGCAUCAGAAUCAGUUUUUUUUAGCCAUCAAGAUACUGAUUUCAAAAUCACAAAUAGCCUAUAUGUUACAAAAUGUUGUUUCUCUUGGAUUAUCAACGUCAAUUUCAAAUGAUCUUCAAGCAGUGGAGAUGAGGUUAAUAAUGGAACUGGAGAUGAUCUGUACAUAGUUCAAGAAUCCUCUGAACCAAGUUAAGACGGCCAUCUCAUUAAGAAUAAUGUUGUUUUAAUUCUAUAUGGGUCAUGCUUUGCUUUGGUCCUGUGUUCUCUUAUGGGUCAAUGAAUUUAAUUACAAUAUAGCAAUAAUGUUCUCGGCUCAAUUACUUAGAAGGGCAUGUGGUACCCGGUACAUAUUUGGGAGCCCAUAUAUGUAAUGUUCGUCGUCGGAAUGAGACCAAAGCGCAGCAUGGAAAGUGUUCAUGAUAUAAUGUUCACAAAAAACCCUCAAACAAAAUGACAAAAGGCGAAAACGAAAGUAUACAGUUCUGUCAGGGAAACAACCUAAACAGAAAACAACACCCCACAAAACCCAAACGGAAAAUGACAACAUAUAUGAUCCCCAAUCAGAGACAACGAUAGACAGCUGCCUCUGAUUGGGA